rnacentral:rRNA from 1 species
GAUGAACGCUGGCGGCGUGCCUAAUACAUGCAAGUCGAGCGAACGGACGAGAAGCUUGCUUCUCUGAUGUUAGCGGCGGACGGGUGAGUAACACGUGGAUAACCUACCUAUAAGACUGGGAUAACUUCGGGAAACCGGAGCUAAUACCGGAUAAUAUUUUGAACCGCAUGGUUCAAAAGUGAAAGACGGUCUUGCUGUCACUUAUAGAUGUAUCCGCGCUGCAUUAGCUAGUUGGUAAGGUAACGGCUUACCAAGGCAACGAUGCAUAGCCGACCUGAGAGAGGGAUCGGCCACACUGGAACGGAGACACGGUCCAGACUCCUACGGGAGGCAGCAGUAGGGAAUCUUCCGCAAUGGGCGAAAGCCUGACGGAGCAACGCCGCGUGAGUGAUGAAGGUCUUCGGAUCGUAAAACUCUGUUAUUAGGAAAGAACAUAUGUGUAAGUAACUGUGCACAUCUUGACGGUACCUAAUCAGAAAGCCACGGCUAACUACGU